rnacentral:rRNA from 1 species
UAGCGGAGGAAAAGAAACCAACAGGGAUUGCCUCAGUAACGGCGAGUGAAGCGGCAAAAGCUCAAAUUUGAAAUCUAGCACCUUCGGUGUUCGAGUUGUAAUUUGAAGAUGGUAACCUUGGGUUUGGCUCUUGUCUAUGUUCCUUGGAACAGGACGUCAUAGAGGGUGAGAAUCCCGUCUGAUGAGAUGCCCAUUCCUAUGUAAGGUGCUAUCGAAGAGUCGAGUUGUUUGGGAAUGCAGCUCUAAGUGGGUGGUAAAUUCCAUCUAAAGCUAAAUAUUGGCGAGAGACCGAUAGCGAACAAGUACAGUGAUGGAAAGAUGAAAAGAACUUUGAAAAGAGAGUGAAAAAGUACGUGAAAUUGUUGAAAGGGAAGGGCAUUAGAUCAGACUUGGUGUUUUACGAUUAUCUUCUCUUCUUGAGUUGUGCACUCGUAUUUCACUGGGCCAGCAUCGAUUCGGAUGGCAAGAUAAUGGCAGUUGAAUGUGGCUUCACUUCGGUGGAGUGUUAUAGCUUCUGCUGAUAUUGCCUGUCUGGAUCGAGGGCUGCGUCUUUUGACUAGGAUGCUGGCGUAAUGAUCUAAUGCCGCCCGUCUUGAACCACGGACCA